CACGGGGUUGCGAGCGUUGUCCGGAAUUACUAGGCGUAAAGGGCAGGCAGGCGGAUCCAUAAGUUUAUCGUUUAAGGCGUCGGCUUAACCGGCGUAGGGCGGUAGAUACUGUGGAUCUGGAAUGCGGUUGGGGAAGACAGAAUUCCUGGUGUAGCGGUGGAAUGCGCAGAGAUCAGGAGGAAUACCGAAGGCGAAGGCAGUCUUCCAAGCCGUUAUUGACGCUCAACUGCGAAGGUGUGUGUAUCAAACAGGAUUAGAUACCCUGGUAGUCCCU
rnacentral:rRNA from 1 species